GACGAACGCUGGCGGCGUGCUUAACACAUGCAAGUCGAACGGAAAGGCCCUGCUUUUGUGGGGUGCUCGAGUGGCGAACGGGUGAGUAACACGUGAGUAACCUGCCCUUGACUUUGGGAUAACUUCAGGAAACUGGGGCUAAUACCGGAUAGGAGCUCCUGCUGCAUGGUGGGGGUUGGAAAGUUUCGGCGGUUGGGGAUGGACUCGCGGCUUAUCAGCUUGUUGGUGGGGUAGUGGCUUACCAAGGCUUUGACGGGUAGCCGGCCUGAGAGGGUGACCGGCCACAUUGGGACUGAGAUACGGCCCAGACUCCUACGGGAGGCAGCAGUGGGGAAUAUUGCACAAUGGGCGGAAGCCUGAUGCAGCAACGCCGCGUGCGGGAUGACGGCCUUCGGGUUGUAAACCGCUUUCGCCUGUGACGAAGCGUGAGUGACGGUAAUGGGUAAAGAAGCACCGGCUAACUACGUGCCAGCAGCCGCGGUGAUACGUAGGGUGCGAGCGUUGUCCGGAUUUAUUGGGCGUAAAGGGCUCGUAGGUGGUUGAUCGCGUCGGAAGUGUAAUCUUGGGGCUUAACCCUGAGCGUGCUUUCGAUACGGGUUGACUUGAGGAAGGUAGGGGAGAAUGGAAUUCCUGGUGGAGCGGUGGAAUGCGCAGAUAUCAGGAGGAACACCAGUGGCGAAGGCGGUUCUCUGGGCCUUUCCUGACGCUGAGGAGCGAAAGCGUGGGGAGCGAACAGGCUUAGAUACCCUGGUAGUCCACGCUGUAAACGGUAGGUACUAGGUGUGGGGUCCAUUCCACGGGUUCCGUGCCGUAGCUAACGCUUUAAGUACCCCGCCUGGGGAGUACGGCCGCAAGGCUAAAACUCAAAGGAAUUGACGGGGCCCCGCACAAGCGGCGGAGCAUGCGGAUUAAUUCGAUGCAACGCGUAGAACCUUACCUGGGUUUGACAUGGAUCGGGAGCGCUCAGAGAUGGGUGUGCCUCUUUUGGGGUCGGUUCACAGGUGGUGCAUGGCUGUCGUCAGCUCGUGUCGUGAGAUGUUGGGUUAAGUCCCGCAACGAGCGCAACCCCUGUUCACUGUUGCCAGCACGUUAUGGUGGGGACUCAGUGGAGACCGCCGGGGUCAACUCGGAGGAAGGUGGGGAUGACGUCAAGUCAUCAUGCCCCUUAUGUCCAGGGCUUCACGCAUGCUACAAUGGCUGGUACAGAGAGUGGCGAGCCUGUGAGGGUGAGCGAAUCUCGGAAAGCCGGUCUCAGUUCGGAUUGGGGUCUGCAACUCGACCUCAUGAAGUCGGAGUCGCUAGUAAUCGCAGAUCAGCAACGCUGCGGUGAAUACGUUCCCGGGGCU
rnacentral:rRNA from 1 species